rnacentral:rRNA from 1 species
AGUGAGCGCUGGCGGUAGGCCUAACACAUGCAAGUCGAACGGCAGCACAGUAAGAGCUUGCUCUUACGGGUGGCGAGUGGCGGACGGGUGAGGAAUACAUCGGAAUCUACUUUUUCGUGGGGGAUAACGUAGGGAAACUUACGCUAAUACCGCAUACGACCUACGGGUGAAAGCAGGGGAUCUUCGGACCUUGCGCGAUUGAAUGAGCCGAUGUCGGACUAGCUAGUUGGCGGGGUAAAGGCCCACCAAGGCGACGAUCCGUAGCUGGUCUGAGAGGAUGAUCAGCCACACUGGAACUGAGACACGGUCCAGACUCCUACGGGAGGCAGCAGUGGGGAAUAUUGGACAAUGGGCGCAAGCCUGAUCCAGCCAUACCGCGUGGGUGAAGAAGGCCUUCGGGUUGUAAAGCCCUUUUGUUGGGAAAGAAAAGCAGCAGGUUAAUACCCCGCUGUUCUGACGGUACCCAAAGAAUAAGCACCGGCUAACUUCGU